rnacentral:tmRNA from 1 species
GGGGGUGUUGGGUUUCGACGGUUCAUUAAAACGUCAAAAAUCGGGUGGAAGACGUGGAGUAACUUCCUAAAACAAUCUUCACAAACAAAUAAGUGCAAACUUAUUGUCAAAAGUGCGAAACGCAGUUGCUUCGGUCUUCGGACCUGAUGAAAGGGCAUUCGCACCUGCUUUAGCUUAAUAGGUUAAAGCGACCCGUUGCGAUAGUAAUAUCGCAGCCAUCGGCGUAGCUGAUGCUUGAUCGGUUGCAUCACCGGUGUCAUACAUUCAAGCUAGGCCGACCCAUAAGGGUUCAGGCCGCGGUUCUGAAGGUCUUCCGUGCCGAAGAACGACAAACAACACGGAGAGUCCAAUGGGUGUUUCUCGGCAUUUUCAGCCCAUUGGUUCUUAGGAGGGCAAUGCCGAUAUGCCCGUAUACUUUUUGACGCGCCAUGUUCCGGACGCCGGUUCAACUCCGGUCGCCUCCAUUU